AAAAGCAUCGGCUAACUCCGUGCCAGCAGCCGCGGUAAUACGGAGGAUGCGAGCGUUAUCCGGAUUUAUUGGGUUUAAAGGGUGCGUAGGCGGGCUUUUAAGUCAGCGGUAAAAAUUCGGGGCUCAACCCCGUCCGGCCGUUGAAACUGGCGUUCUUGAGUGGGCGAGAAGUACGCGGAAUGCGUGGUGUAGCGGUGAAAUGCAUAGAUAUCACGCAGAACCCCGAUUGCGAAGGCAGCGUACCGGCGCCCUACUGACGCUGAAGCACGAAAGCGUGGGUAUCGAACAG
rnacentral:rRNA from 1 species